rnacentral:rRNA from 1 species
UACGGAGGGGGCUAGCGUUGUUCGGAAUUACUGGGCGUAAAGCGCGCGUAGGCGGCUUUGUAAGUUAGAGGUGAAAGCCCGGGGCUCAACUCCGGAAUUGCCUUUAAGACUGCAUCGCUAGAAUUGUGGAGAGGUAAGUGGAAUUCCGAGUGUAGAGGUGAAAUUCGUAGAUAUUCGGAAGAACACCAGUGGCGAAGGCGACUUACUGGGCACAUAUUGACGCUGAGGUGCGAAAGCGUGGGGAGCAAACAGG